AAUCGAAACUUAAAAGAACAAUUUCUGCACUAAAAACACAAUACCAAUAUUUUUUACAAUAACACAUUCGACAUGUACUUCCAAGAGUACACACCGACCGCUAUUUUCAAAGCGAAUGUGUAGAGUGAAAAUUUCAAACAAUAAAUACAGUAAUCAAAUGGAACGGGAUUUUAACGUAGUGUGCAAUUUGGAAGUGAUAAGAGUGAUUUAUUUUUCAACUUGUCCAUCUCCGUAAUAUACGUUUAGUUGUGAGAUGUUCACAGUUUUCCCCAAAAAACAGGCCUUCACGUGCGAAAUCAAAGUGGGUGGGGAACGUGUAUUUCGAGUCGCUGGAACUUCAUAAUGAAGCUGCUUUUGUGCAAUAUUCAGCGACGUUACCAGCUGUGUGUUAGACGAAACGAAAAUGCUUUGGUUUUGCAUCGUGUUUUGAGACUGUCAGGGUGACAUGAUGGAUUAAUUGCUGUUUGACUGACAAUAAAUGAACAUGUUUGUGUUUGGAGAUUGCUGAGGUUAAUAUCUUCACAAUUGGGAAAUCCCAACAUAAGUUGACUGCCAGUUUGACCACUGAUCUGCAUAAUAUCAGUGGGAGAGCAUGCUGAAUCCCGCAGCUUCUGCACCAUAUGUUUCCUGGCCGAGUGGUUGAAAGUUGCGAGCACACAUUCCAUGGGUGAUGAUAUCAACCAAAAUUCUUGGCGGCACAGUUCUACCCUCGUCAGUUGCACUUGUCCGAGUCUUUCUCUGCCUCUCAACCAACUCGAGAUAUUCCCCCCCCCAACUGCAUCCCGGCACAGCUUCACAUCAACCCAUCUAAUUAAUUUGUCGGAAAGGUUGACCACACAAAUUUCCUGUUUGGUUGUGGAGAUAGAAUCAUUUUUUUGUGAAGGUUUGAUUUCAGACACUUAAAAAUUGAAAUUGUCAUGUAUUAUUAGGCAUGGCAGGCAUUAGCAAAGCAUCUCAAUCAAGUAUUAAUUAUUUUACUUUGUCAAUGUUAAUUCAUUGUGUAUGCUAUUCACCUGUUUGCCUUGCUUUUUAUAAGAAUGACACAAAAAAGGAAAGCAUUUGUAAAGUAUUAGUUAUUUUUGUUUUAUAUAUUCUUAGACGAGAUGUUUAGUGAAU